rnacentral:rRNA from 2 species
CUGGUAUUGAUUGGUGCUUGCAUCAUGAUUUACAUUUGAGUGAGUGGCGAACUGGUGAGUAACACGUGGGAAACCUGCCCAGAAGCGGGGGAUAACACCUGGAAACAGAUGCUAAUACCGCAUAACAACUUGGACCGCAUGGUCCGAGCUUGAAAGAUGGCUUCGGCUAUCACUUUUGGAUGGUCCCGCGGCGUAUUAGCUAGAUGGUGGGGUAACGGCUCACCAUGGCAAUGAUACGUAGCCGACCUGAGAGGGUAAUCGGCCACAUUGGGACUGAGACACGGCCCAAACUCCUACGGGAGGCAGCAGUAGGGAAUCUUCCACAAUGGACGAAAGUCUGAUGGAGCAACGCCGCGUGAGUGAAGAAGGGUUUCGGCUCGUAAAACUCUGUUGUUAAAGAAGAACAUAUCUGAGAGUAACUGUUCAGGUAUUGACGGUAUUUAACCAGAAAGCCACGGCUAACUACGUGCCAGCAGCCGCGGUAAUACGUAGGUGGCAAGCGUUGUCCGGAUUUAUUGGGCGUAAAGCGAGCGCAGGCGGUUUUUUAAGUCUGAUGUGAAAGCCUUCGGCUCAACCGAAGAAGUGCAUCGGAAACUGGGAAACUUGAGUGCAGAAGAGGACAGUGGAACUCCAUGUGUAGCGGUGAAAUGCGUAGAUAUAUGGAAGAACACCAGUGGCGAAGGCGGCUGUCUGGUCUGUAACUGACGCUGAGGCUCGAAAGUAUGGGUAGCAAACAGGAUUAGAUACCCUGGUAGUCCAUACCGUAAACGAUGAAUGCUAAGUGUUGGAGGGUUUCCGCCCUUCAGUGCUGCAGCUAACGCAUUAAGCAUUCCGCCUGGGGAGUACGGCCGCAAGGCUGAAACUCAAAGGAAUUGACGGGGGCCCGCACAAGCGGUGGAGCAUGUGGUUUAAUUCGAAGCUACGCGAAGAACCUUACCAGGUCUUGACAUACUAUGCAAAUCUAAGAGAUUAGACGUUCCCUUCGGGGACAUGGAUACAGGUGGUGCAUGGUUGUCGUCAGCUCGUGUCGUGAGAUGUUGGGUUAAGUCCCGCAACGAGCGCAACCCUUAUUAUCAGUUGCCAGCAUUAAGUUGGGCACUCUGGUGAGACUGCCGGUGACAAACCGGAGGAAGGUGGGGAUGACGUCAAAUCAUCAUGCCCCUUAUGACCUGGGCUACACACGUGCUACAAUGGAUGGUACAACGAGUUGCGAACUCGCGAGAGUAAGCUAAUCUCUUAAAGCCAUUCUCAGUUCGGAUUGUAGGCUGCAACUCGCCUACAUGAAGUCGGAAUCGCUAGUAAUCGCGGAUCAGCAUGCCGCGGUGAAUACGUUCCCGGGCCUUGUACACACCGCCCGUCACACCAUGAGAGUUUGUAACACCCAAAGUCGGU